rnacentral:tRNA from 1 species
GCCGACAUGGUGAAAUUGGUAGACACGCCAUCUUGAGGGGGUGGUGAUCGUAAGGUCAUGCGAGUUCGAGCCUCGCUGUCGGCACCA